UCAGACGUGACUCAGCCACGCCAGUAACACAGAGGUUUAAUUCGAUGACAGGAACAGUCUAAAACAGAGCUCAUUAGCACAGAAAGCAG